AUAAUGAUACUUCCGUAGCCGAAAGGCGCGGUCGGCGGAGUACCCGGCGAGGGUGAGAUUCCCAUGA
rnacentral:ncRNA from 1 species